rnacentral:rRNA from 1 species
CCGGCAAACUCUAUGCCCGGCCCGCGGUAAUACAGAGGGUGCAAGCGUUAAUCGCAAUUACUGGUCGUAAAGCGCGCGUAGGUGGUUUGUUAACUCGGAUGUGUAAUCCCAGGGCUCAUCCUUGCAAUGGCACCCGAUACUGGCAGGCUAGAGUACGGUAGAGGGGUGUGUAAUUUCCUGUGUAGCGGUGAAAUGCGUAUAUAUAGGAAGGAACAUCAUUGGCGAAGGCGACACCCUGGACUGAUACUGACCCUGAGGUGCUAAAGCCUGGGGAGCAAACAGGAUUAGAUACCCUGGUAGUCCACACCGUAAACUAUGUCUACUAGCCGUUGGGUUGUACUGACUUAUUGGCUCAGCUAACUCAAUAAGUAAACCGCCUGGGGAGUACG